rnacentral:rRNA from 1 species
AGAGUUUGAUCCUGGCUCAGAAUGAACGCUGGCGGCAGGCCUAACACAUGCAAGUCGAACGGAGUUAUAUUGUAGCUUGCUAUGGUAUAACUUAGUGGCAGACGGGUGAGUAAUGUAUAGGAAUCUACCUAGUAGUACGGAAUAAUUGUUGGAAACGGCAACUAAUACCGUAUACGCCCUACGGGGGAAAAAUUUAUUGCUAUUAGAUGAGCCUAUAUUAGAUUAGCUAGUUGGUGGAGUAAUAGCCUACCAAGGCAAUGAUCUAUAGCUGAUCUGAGAGGAUGAUCAGCCACACUGGAACUGAGAUACGGUCCAGACUCCUACGGGAGGCAGCAGUGGGGAAUAUUGGACAAUGGGCGAAAGCCUGAUCCAGCCAUGCCGCAUGAGUGAAGAAGGCCUUUGGGUUGUAAAGCUCUUUUAGUGAGGGAGAUAAUGACGGUACUCACAGAAGAAGUCCUGGCUAACUCCGUGCCAGCAGCCGCGGUAAUACGGAAGGUGCAAGCGUUAUCCGGUUUUAUUGGGUUUAAAGGGUGCGUAGGCGGCUUAUUAAGUCAGUUGUGAAAUCCUAGUGCUUAACGCUAGAACUGCGAUUGAUACUAUUAGGCUUGAGUUAAGAAGAGGUAGGCAGAAUUUAUGGUGUAGUAGUGAAAUGCUUAGAUAUCAUAAGGAAUACCAAUAGCGUAGGCAGCUUACUGGUCUUUAACUGACGCUGAGGCACGAAAGCGUGGGGAGCAAACAGGAUUAGAUACCCUGGUAGUCCACGCCGUAAACGAUGAUCACUCGAUAUACAUGAUACUUCGUGUGUGUCUAAGCGAAAGCGUUAAGUGAUCCACCUGGGGAGUAUACUCGCAAGGGUGAAACUCAAAGGAAUUGACGGGGGUCCGCACAAGCGGUGGAGUAUGUGGUUUAAUUCGAUAAUACGCGAGGAACCUUACCUAGGCUAGAAUGUAUUUUGCUACCUCAAGAAAUUGAGGGUUCCUUCGGGACGGAAUACAAGGUGCUGCAUGGCUGUCGUCAGCUCGUGCCGUGAGGUGUUGGGUUAAGUCCUAUAACGAGCGAAACCCUUUUACUUAAUUGCCAGCACGUAAUGGUGGGGACUUUAAGUAGACUGCCCGUGUAAGCGGGAGGAAGGAGAGGACGAGGUCAAGUCAUCAUGGCCUUUAUGCCCAGGGCUACACACGUACUACAAUGGCAUGUACAAAGGGAAGCUACUUGGUAACAAGAUGCAAAUCUUAAAAGCAUGUCUCAGUUCGGAUUGAGGUCUGCAAUUCGACCUCAUGAAGUUGGAAUCGCUAGUAAUCGUGGAUCAGCAUGCCACGGUGAAUACGUUCUCGGGUCUUGUACACACUGCCCGUCACGCCAUGGGAAUUGGUUUCACUCGAAGCUAAUGGCCUAACCGCAAGGAAGGAGUUAUUUAAAGUGGGAUCAGUGACUGGGGUGAAGUCG